UACGUAGGGCGCAAGCGUUGUCCGGAAUUAUUGGGCGUAAAGAGCUCGUAGGCGGUUUGUCGCGUCGGAUGUGAAAGCCCGGGGCUUAACCCCGGGUCUGCAUUCGAUACGGGCAGACUGGAGUGUGGUAGGGGAGAUCGGAAUUCCUGGUGUAGCGGUGAAAUGCGCAGAUAUCAGGAGGAACACCGGUGGCGAAGGCGGGUCUCUGGGCAACAACUGACGCUGAGGAGCGAAAGCGUGGGGAGCGAACAGG
rnacentral:rRNA from 1 species